rnacentral:tRNA from 1 species
UCCCUGGUGGCUGAGGUGGUAAAGUACCUGCCUGCAAUUCAAGAGACCCAGGCUAGAUCCCUGACUUGGGAA